rnacentral:rRNA from 1 species
UACAGAGGUGGCAAGCGUUGUUCGGAAUUACUGGGCGUAAAGGGCGCGUAGGCGGUCUUGCAAGUCCCGUGUGAAAUCCCUCGGCUCAACUGAGGAAUUGCACGGGAAACUGCUUGGCUUGAGAUCGGGAGAGGGAAGCGGAAUUCCGGGUGUAGCGGUGAAAUGCGUAGAUAUCCGGAGGGACACCGGUGGCGAAGGCGGCUUCCUGGACCGACACUGACGCUGAGGCGCGAAAGCUAGGGGAGCAAACGGG